rnacentral:rRNA from 1 species
GACGAACGCUGGCGGCGUGCUUAACACAUGCAAGUCGAACGGAAAGGCCCAGCUUGCUGGGUGCUCGAGUGGCGAACGGGUGAGUAACACGUGGGUGAUCUGCCCCUAACUUCGGGAUAAGCUUGGGAAACUGGGUCUAAUACCGGAUAGGACAAUCGUUUAGUGUCGGUUGUGGAAAGUUUUUUCGGUUAGGGAUGAGCCCGCGGCCUAUCAGCUUGUUGGUGGGGUAAUGGCCUACCAAGGCGUCGACGGGUAGCCGGCCUGAGAGGGUGGACGGCCACAUUGGGACUGAGAUACGGCCCAGAAUCCUACGGGAGGCAGCAGUGGGGAAUAUUGCACAAUGGGCGCAAGCCUGAUGCAGCGACGCCGCGUGGGGGAUGACGGCCUUCGGGUUGUAAACCUCUUUCGACAGGGACGAAGCUUUGGUGACGGUACCUGUAUAAGAAGCACCGGCUAACUACGUG